AUACGAAUGGAGCGAGCGUUGUUCGGAAUCAUUGGGCGUAAAGCGUAUGUAGGCGGACUAGAAAGUCAGAAGUGAAAUCCCGAGGCUCAACCUCGGAAUUGCUUUUGAAACUCCUGGUCUCGAGUCCCGGAGGGGUUGACGGAAUUCCUAGUGUAGAGGUGAAAUUCGCAGAUAUUAGGAGGAACACCAGUGGCGUAGGCGGUCAACUGGACGGGUACUGACGCUGAGAUACGAAAGCGUGGGGAGCAAACAGGAUUAGAAACCCUAGUAGUCC
rnacentral:rRNA from 1 species